UACGUAGGCAGCAAGCGUUGUUCGGAAUUAUUGGGCGUAAAGAGUAUGUAGGUGGUGUCGUAAGUUUGGUGUGAAAUCUCCCGGCUUAACUGGGAGGGUGCGCCGAAGACUGCGAUGCUGGAGUAUGGGAGAGGGAAUCGGAAUUCCUGGUGUAGCGGUGAAAUGCGUAGAUAUCAGGAGGAACACCUGUGGUGUAGACGGGUUCCUGGACCAUUACUGACACUGAGAUACGAAAGCGUGGGUAGCAAACAGG
rnacentral:rRNA from 1 species